rnacentral:rRNA from 1 species
GAUGAACGCUGGCGGCGUGCCUAAUACAUGCAAGUCGAGCGAACGGACCAGACGCUUGCUUCUCUCUUGUUAGCGGCGGACGGGUGAGUAACACGUGUAUCACCUCCCUAUAUGACUGGGAUCACUUCGGGACACCGGAGCUAAUCCCGUAUAAUCUUUUGCUCCGCAUGGUUCAAAGGUGAGAUUCGGUCUUGCUGUCACUUCUCGCUGGAUCCGCGCUUGUUUGGCUAGUUGUUCAGGUAACGGGCUUCCACGGCAACGAUGCCUAGCCGAACUGAGAGGGGGGUAGGCCACACUGGAGCUGAGACACGGUCAAGACUCCUAAGGGAGGCAGCAGUAGGGAAUCUGCCGCAGUGGGCGAAAGCAUGACGGAGCAGGGCCGCGUGAGAGAUGAAGGUGUUCGGAUCGUAAAAAUCUGUUAUUAGGGAAGAACAGAUGCGGAAGUAAAUGUGCACAUCGUGACGGUACCGAAUCAGAAAGCCACGGCUAACUACGUG